UUAUAUUAAAGUGUAAUUGCAUUUAAAUUUUUGAGAUUUAAGGUUUAAUUUAUUUAAAUAAUAUA
rnacentral:tRNA from 1 species